CCAUUUCUAAGUUUAGGUUACUACCAUUUCUUAGUUUGUAGUUUAUAUACAGUAUAUAUCACAAAUAAUAACACCCAAGAUACACAAUUUCUUACAACGGCUUACCAGGUGAUGUGGCCGAUGACCUGGAGGACCCCAUACAUCCACCAGAUCCUGUCCAACGUGCGGAUGCCCGAGGGAAUCAAGUCCAGGGACAAAUUGUUUCCAAUUACUUUGCCUGUUCGCCUUGUAUUGGAGGAUGACGCUGUGGGGAGUGUAGCCCAGACGAGGAGCGUCCACCUUUGGGAAAAAAAGAAGAAAAAAAUGUAUUUAAUUUUUUGUUAUCUUCAUGAUGCAAAACCAUGACCAAGUUUAUUUGUACCCAAAAA